GUUCGGUGACUGACUUCCUGUCCUCCGACACCAUUGAAGGCCUAAAAAACAUUCAUCAAAAGCUCUCUGACAGAAAGCAGUACAGGGGAUUUGGUGGAGAGCUAAUGAGACCAGCUGGUAAG